GGGGGGGGGGAUGUGGGGGUGUGGGUUUGGUUUCACUUCAGUUGUUUUGUUUUGUUUUUGGGUGUUGAUUUUAGCUGAAUCUGAUUUCUUUUAGAACAUAAUUAUUAUUUUAAUGCUUCGGUGACGUGUGUGGUUUGCCUCCUUCUGCACUUUUCUUGGAUUCUCUGCUUGUGAUGCUUAUUAUUCUGUGUGCGACAGUAUUUUGUUUUGAUCUUUAGUUUGUUCAAAUGAUGGUUGUUUUUUCUUUCCCUAUCCCUCCACUUGAAAAUUGCAUUUCUUCUUUAAAAAAUUGUAAUCAAAUCAGUUCAAGUAGUCUGCCUUUCAUUACCUUUUGACUCUCUCUCUCUCUCUCUCUCU
rnacentral:misc_RNA from 1 species